AUGUAUGUAUGUAUGUAUGUAUACACCCUUACAAAAAAACCCAGCGAACUUCCAGCGAAAGUUCGCUGGAAAUUAAAAGAUCACUGGAAAUUUACUAAGAUCACUGGGUUUUCGCUGGAUUUCCAUGGAAACAAAAGACUUCGCUGGAAGUUCGCUGGAAAUCCAACGAAAAACUUCCAGUGAUCUUAAAGUUCGCUGGAAGUUUACUGGGUUUCUUGUGAAAUAUUUCGCGGUGAUGUAAAAAGCGUUGCUGUUACAACUUCUGCAAGCAGUUAAAACUUGGAAAAUUGAUAAUAUAGCUUCUUAAAAUAAUAUUUCAAAUUUUUGUAUAAAAGUAAUCCUUUUUAUUUUAUUUUUUGCAUCUAAUAGAUGAUCUAUAGUGUGAGUUUCAAUUAUUAUUAGUUCUACUCAAGUUACAAAACAAAAUCAUCUGGAUAAAAGUGAUAAAAUGCUAUUGGUUGGAAAUUGAUAAAUUAAUAAAAAACGAUUGAUUCUAAUUGCGCGAAAAUAUGUUGCUCUAAAGACCCAAACCGAAAAAAAUGCCUAAAGUGGUUUUCAAAAGAUGAAUUGACGAAUUUCUUAAUUCUUUUUGUUUCGUUGUGAUAAUUUGUCGUAUGAGAACGCUAACGAGAAAAAACUUUUUAAAUAUAGAAACAUGCGUAAUAUAAAGUUUACUUAUGCCUAUAAAAAAAUAUGUUUUACAUUAAUUAAUAAAUUAACUUUUUAGUUUCUUGUUAAAAAUUGUAUUCUGUAUUGAAGUUUAUUUCUGAGAAUUUGUAAUUAUACCUAAGAUAAUCUAAUCCUACAUUGUAUUUUAAUUUAUAAAACUCGAUAUUUUAAAAUAAAUAUAUUACUUUUUUAUCGCG